UUGUUUAGCAGCACAUACACUAAAAUUGGAAUGAUACAGAGAAGAUUAGGAUGGCCCCUGUGAAAGAAUGACACCAAAAUGAAAACACAAUAGUCCAAAAUCUUU
rfam:Canis lupus familiaris chromosome X, whole genome shotgun sequence.